rnacentral:rRNA from 1 species
UGAGCGUUCGGUGGAUGCCUUGGCAUCAGGGGCCGAUGAAGGACGUGGUGGCCUGCGAUAAGCCUCGGGGAGCCGGCUGACGGGCUGUGAUCCGAGGGUGUCCGAAUGGGGAGACCUGGCACUCGUUGUGGGGUGUCACUCGUGUCUGAGGUUGUGUAGGGCGCGAGGGGUGACGCGGGGAAGUGAAACAUCUCAGUACCCGUAGGAGAGGAUAUUCCGUGUGUAGUGGCGAGCGAUAGCGGAUGAUGGUGAAACCGUGUGCGUGUGAGACUCGGCAGGGGUUGCGUGUGCGGGGUUGUGGGGCGCGUGUGUUCUCGUUUCUGCCGGGGCGGGGCGUGAGUGGCGUUGGGUAGCUGAACCGUCUGGGAUGGCGGGCCGGAGGAGGUGAGAGCCCUGUAGGUGAAACCUGGCGUGGAUAUUGCGUGCGUGUGUUCCCAGUGUAGCAUGGGGCUCGUGGAAUCCUGUGUGAGUUUGCCGAGACCACUCGGCUGCCUGAAUACCUCCUGAUGACCGAUAGCGGAUGAGUACCGUGAGGGAAUGGUGAAAAGUACCCCGGGAGGGGAGUGAAAGAGUACCUGAAACCGGGCGCUUACAAGCCGUCAGAGCCUGGGUCCAGUGCGUGAUUUUUGCGUGGUGGGGUGGGUGAUGGCGUGCCUAUUGAAGAAUGAGCCUGCGAGUCAGUGCCGUGUCGCGAGGUUAACCCGUGUGGGGGAGUCGUAGCGACAGCGAGUCCGAGAAGGGCGUGAUGGAGUGGCGCGGUAUGGACCCGAAGCGGGGUGAUCUACCCAUGGCCAGGUUGAAGCAUGUGUAAGAGCGUGUGGAGGGCCGUACCCGCCUCAGUUGAAAAUGGGGGGGAUGAGUUGUGGGUAGGGGUGAAAGGCCAAUCAGACUCCGUGAUAGCUGGUUCUCCCCGAAAUGCAUUUUGGUGCAGCGUUGCGUGUGUCGCCCGGCGGAGGUAGAGCGACUGGUUGGCUGCGGGGCCUGACAGGGUUACUUAGGUCAGCCAAACUCCGAAUGCCGUGCGGGUGUGGCGUGGCAGUGAGACCGCGGGGGAUAAGCUUCGUGGUCGAGAGGGAAACAGCCCGGAUCGCCGGCUAAGGCCCCUAAGCGUGCGCUAAGUGGGAAAGGAUGUGCGGUCGCGUAGACAGCCAGGAGGUUGGCUCAGAAGCAGCCAUCCUUGAAAGAGUGCGUAAUAGCUCACUGGUCGAGUGGUCGUGCGCCGACAAUGUAGCGGGGCUUAAGCGUGCCGCCGAAGCCGCGGACUCCUCCGUGAGGAGGGGUGGUAGGGGAGCGUCCUGCGUUGGGUGAAGCCCGGGAGUGAUCCUAGGGUGGACGGCGUGGGAGUGAGAAUGCAGGCAUGAGUAGCGAUGACUAGGGUGAGAGUCCCUAGCGCCGAAUGACCAAGGGUUCCAGGGCCAGGUGGAUCCGCCCUGGGUGAGUCGGGACCUAAGACGAGGCCGACAGGCGUAGUCGAUGGAUGACGGGUUGAUAUUCCCGUACCGGCGUAGGACCGCCCAUGCUGACGCGCGGGUGCUAACUCACGCCCGUGGUCGUUGAUUCGCUGGUGGCCGGUACCUUCGGGUCCGGGUGCUGGUGUCGACCAGGGUCUGGGGAUCCUCCGUGCAGGUAGGCAAGCGUAGUAACAGGGGUGACGCACAGUGGUAGCCUCGCGGGCCUAAUGGCUUGGCCCGUUCAAGCGCGCAGCCUCUCGCUCAGGUAAAUCCGGGCGAUCGCGUUAAUGACAUGGUUGUUGACGCGGGGGUGAGGCGUGAUGGUGACCCCGCUGUGAGCGGGGGAGAGCAGGGUGAUCCUGGGGUGCCGAGAAAAGCCUCGACGCGAUGGUGCUGGGCCGCCCGUACCCGAAACCGACACAGGUGGUCGGGCAGAGCAUGCCUAGGCGAACGAGUGAAUCAUGGUUAAGGAACUCGGCAAAAUGCCCCCGUAACUUCGGGAGAAGGGGGGCCCGAUCCCUGAAACAGCUGGCCUGUUAGGGGGGAGGGUCGCAGAGGCCAGGGGGAAGCGACUGUUUACUAAAAACACAGGUCCGUGCGAAGCCGUAAGGCGAUGUAUACGGACUGACGCCUGCCCGGUGCUGGAAGGUUAAGAGGAACCAUCAACCCUCGGGUGAAGUGGUGAAUUUAAGCCCCAGUAAACGGCGGUGGUAACUAUAACCAUCCUAAGGUAGCGAAAUUCCUUGUCGGGUAAGUUCCGACCUGCACGAAUGGCGUAACGACUUCCCUACUGUCUCAACCAUGAGCUCGGCGAAAUUGCACUACGAGUAAAGAUGCUCGUUUCGCGCAGAAGGACGGAAAGACCCCGGGACCUUUACUACAACUUGGUAUUGGUGUUCGCUGUGGCUUGUGCAGGAUAGGUGGGAGACCGUGAAGCUGUCACGCUAGUGAUGGUGGAGUCGUUGUUGAAAUACCACUCUGGCCUGGGCGUGCGCCUGAACCUCGGCUCGUGAUCCGGGCCAGGGACAGUGCCUGGCGGGUAGUUUAACUGGGGCGGUUGCCUCCUAAAGAGUAACGGAGGCGCUCAAAGGUUCCCUCAGCCUGGUCGGUCAUCAGGUAGUGAGUGCAAGUGCACAAGGGAGCUUGACUGUGAGACUGACGGGUCGAGCAGGUACGAAAGUAGGAACUAGUGAUCCGGCGAUCCCGUGUGGGUGGGUCGUCGCUCAACGGAUAAAAGGUACCCCGGGGAUAACAGGCUGAUCCU